UAAAAGAGACCUGCGAUAGCUGAACCAGGAGUAUGCGUGUCUCCCUCCGGUGUACCCCUGUUCUUUCAAGUCGCUGCUCUCUCCCCGAGAACCUUGUUGACCAGUCCGCGGGCUCGGGCAGGUGGCGCCCAACGUGGCGCUCGAGGUACGAGAGAUUUCCAGUAGACCCAGACGCGGCGUGCGGCGCGAGUUACUCAGGCCCCGACCCACCCGGCGGGACAGUCAUUAGGAUGCCUGUGGCCACCUGGAUUCUCCUGGUUCUUCUACAGUAGCCUGUCGCCCGUGUCUUAGCCGGCCUUGGACCACCCGCCUCUCUCGCAUCCGCGUCUUCUUCCUUGGAUUCGCCCUGCAACUGCAAGGCAUUACCUCUGCCCUGGCCACAGGUGCCUCUGGUUUGGCCAUCUCCGUUUCUCAAUACCAUACCUUGUCUCAACAACUCAUUGAUGAUGUACAGGCACUAUCUAGCACCAUCCAAGAUCUUCAGGACCAACUAGACUCUUUGUCGAAGUUACCCUCCAAAACUGAUGCAGUUUUGACCUCCUCACCGCUGAUAAAGGGGGCAUCUGUGUGGUCCUGCAGGAGCGUUGUUGCUUCUAUGCCAAUAAGUCCGGCAUCGUACGCAAUAAAAUCCGCCAAGUCCAAGAAGACCUAGACAGACGCUGGCAGGAUCUUGCAACCAACCCCUUAUGGACUGAACUUAAUGGACUUUUGCCGUAUUUGCUUCCCCUGUUGGGUCCCCUGUUAUCCCUUUUAUUGUUACUUGCUAUGGGUCCUUGUGUUUUAAACACAGUCCCUUCAGGCGAGACCUAUCCAGGUGCACUAUCACCACCUGGAAAUGCUGGAAAGUGGGGAUGCAUAUACGGAUCUCGGGUCGCCGUCUGCGCCUGGCCAGUAGGUAGCACAGCCUACAUGCUAUGGGAGUCCCACCGUCCUGACCCUUGGUAGCCUUUUAACGUCAGUCAUUAUCCAGCUUCCUGCCUGGGCCCCCUUGAGGAUGCUGGAAUGGAUAGCCAAUGACUGGUAAGAUGGAAUGCGGGACAAGACCAACCUAAGACAGCCCGUGCUCCCUUUCCAUCUAGGACCGUCGGGUGAUGACGGGUAAGGCUCGUCCCUGCAAUUCACAACCUAAGACAGGCACAUUCCUCCUCACUAAUAAAGAGAAAAGGGGGAUCUGUUGGCGCCUUACCUCGUGGCAUCAGGAUACUUCUCCCUUCCGUGAUUGGCUGUGCUCCUUUCGGCCCAGUGCGCAUGACGACCUCUGGCGCACCAAAUAAGGGCAUGUGCCCUUCCGGGAUUAGCUGUGCUUCUUUUGGCCCAGUGCGCAUGACGGCCUCUGGCGCACCAAAUAAGGUUAUGUGUUUAAUCAUUGGCUAGGCACUGUUGGCCUGCUUCUUCCGCUUCCGGUCCCCAGCUAUAAAGCCCCGCCGAAACCGAAAGUAAAAGAGACAUGCUUUAGCUGAACCGAGUGUACGUGUCUCCCUCCGUGGUGUACCCCUGUUCUUUCAGGUCGCUGCUCUCCCCCCGAGAACCUCAUUGACCAGUCCACGGGCUCGGACACUUUCAUGUUCCUAUAGAAUUGAAAAGAUAUCUCACUUGGAUUCUGAACAAUUUGUGACAUUUCAAGCCUGCAUGAUUUUGUUCACAUUGUUUUUCCUGGUUAUACAGUUCUAUGUUACAAACUGUCAUCUAACCAUUUGUACCAGAAAACAGCAUUAGACCUUUCUCAAGAUUUUGUGGGUUCCAAAUUUGGAAACACUUCAUUGGGCAGCUUGUCUCCAAUCUGAGGCUGGAAGUGAUGGACCCAACCAGGGUGGCAAGAUCUGACUUAAUCCACAAGGUCAUAGCCAACUGCCAAGCAUCAUCAAGAGGAAACAAUAGAUGAGCCCUUAUGACAAGUUUUGCACCAGGUACAGUCAGAAGCAUGGAAGGGUGAGAGAAUUCACCAGAGCCAGAGUGGGGAGCAGAACAGAACAGAAUGAACGAAAUACACUGCUGAGGGGAGCAGCGGGCGCAGCAGGAGAGGUCUGCGCAUGAUGUGGGACCCUCACCGGUGGCCAGGGAUUGAACCAGCAAUGCAGAGGCUGCAGUCAGCUUCACAGCCGGCGCUCAACCUCUGUGCCACCAGGGGAAGCCCAAGAUUCUGCCAUCUUGAAUUUCAGUUCCACCAUAUGUAAAAAGAAGGUGAAUGAAAUGCAUCUAGAGUUCUAAAUACAAAAUCCUACUUUUCUUACUUUAAACAAAUUAUGUGUAUCACAUGUUUACUUACAUUUUUAGGGCUAUUCCUUACUUUUUACAAAGAAUGUGCCCGCCUCUAUGUUCUUGAUACACAAGAACUACUCAUUCUACCUUUCAUAGAUUUAUUUCUGCCUCAAUGAUAUCAGCAAGACAGGUAUACUGAAUUAUGAUUAUUUAGUCUGGGCUUCAAUGUUGAGGAGACAAUAUGGAAUAGUUGAGACUAUGAAAAACUGGCACAGGCAUCUUGGAUGAUGGAUAAAAAAUGUACAUUCCCAGCACUUAAUUGCUGAGCCAGAAUGUUGGCUUUAAAAUUUUUAGGAGAAAUUCUCUGAAGGCUUGUCAGGGGGUAGGGAAAACCUAGAUUUUUCUUUUAUUUUAGAUCUCAUAUAUUUAAUUGCAAUAGAAAACAACCUAUGCAAGUCUUAGAAAACACAUACUUGGAUUAAAUCCAGUCAUUGGAUCAUGUAUUUGCAAUCUCUCAGCUAGAUGAGUUGCAAAAGCUCUUUCAGCUCUCUGAUUGAUUAGAAAUUCAUUACUCAUUAGAAGGGCAGGUGCAUUGGGCAUAAUUUGUUUUUAUUACCCAGCAUCCAUUUACUCUCCCUUAAUAAGAAAGCCCAGAUUUUAUUUUGAUCUUGAGAGCUUGUUUGGAGAUCCUAGUGGGCACCACAGCUACUCACAUACCCUUGAUGGAAGAACAGUCUUUCUCUAUUGGGGAAUGCCAUCCUCUUCCACCGAGCACACAGUUUCAGGAAGGAUGUGCAUGGAGCAGCGAGGGAGGAAGUGCAUACUGGCCUGGCCGGCCAGAUCAGCUCAAUCAACCCUGGUGAUCAAUGUGGUUACAGAUGUCCCAGCCAGACCACCCUCAUAUCCCCAGAUUUUAUUUGGAAAAUUGUAUCUUUCCUCCACCCUGAAUCUACACAUUCCACUGACGUUGUGUCUGUCUGUAGCUCUAAGAGUGAAUUAAGUAAAAUAAAUAAAUGAAUAAAUGUUUUUCAGUGGUAAGCACAUGGCCCAAGUCAUGCCAACCAGAAACAGUGACUAAAUUCUGGGUCUUUUUUAAGCGAUCAGAAAAGUAGAUCUUUUCUCUGCUAGAGAGGAACUAAGAAAGAAGUAGCCCUGGAAGAUGCUGGAAGCAACCAACAGAACUCUAACAGAAUAGAGCCAAGACAGAGAAAACAGAGACACUGUAACAGGGUGGUCCCCAGGAAAGGGGGAGUUUCCCUGCCCCACCCAAAGAAGGGUGGAGCUGAGCAGGAAGAGGAGAAGCGGGAGAAGAGACUGAGGAAGGAAGGAAGCAGGAUGGAGCCAGGAGACCUGGAGGAGGCACAUGGAGCCUAGAGACAUGUGAAGAAACUGUGCUUGUCUUUUGGUCGUGGACUGGGUGACACAGAUGUGGGUGAGACCCGUGGGGAGGUGACAAUGGCAGCUUUUAUUUUGAUGUUGAUUUUGCUCUUUUCCUUCCGGGCUUGUCCGGUUGUUUGUGACCCUUUGCUGUGGGUCCCCACUGGAAGAUGCUUUAGACUUGUGGCAGGCUUUGGGGCCUUGUUCUGGGCCAAUCCCAUUUGGAUGGACUUUUACCCACGAGGGGAUGGGUAACUCUGGAUGCUUCAUUUAGAAACUAGACUCUUUGCCUUACCUGUAUUGUUUCCUAGUUUUAUUAAAGUUCCUUCCCAUUAAAGUCUCCUAUGUUUUGUGUUGAUGCGGCGGAUGG